rnacentral:rRNA from 1 species
GACGAACGCUGGCGGCGUGCUUAAUACAUGCAAGUCGAACGAAGUGGCGAACGGGUGAGUAACGCGUAAUCAACCUGCCCUUCAGAGGGGGACAACAGCUGGAAACGACUGCUAAUACCGCAUACUGAAGGAGGGGAUUGCGGCUGAUUAGCUAGUUGGAGGGGUAACGGCCCACAAAGGCGGAGAUCAGUAGGCGGUCUGAGGGGAUGAAAGGCCAACAUGGAACUGAGGCACGACCCAGACUCCUACAGGAGGCAAGAGUGGGGAAUCUUCCGCAAUGGAAGAAAGUCUGACGGAGCAACGCCGCGUGAGUGAUGACGGCCUUCGGGUUGUAAAGCUCUGUUAAUCGGGACGCGGUACCGGAAUAGAAAGCCACGGCUAACUACGUGCCAGCAGCCGCGGUAAUAC